AGCGAUAAAGGCAAACCCUGAGUGAUCAGGGGACGCAAAGUAAAGGAUCUUUAAUUACACUGGCAGAGGCGCAUCAUGAUGCGUCUCUCCUAUGAAUGAAAGAUAGCCCUACUACCGAAC
rnacentral:ncRNA from 1 species